GUGGUGUAGGUGUGGUUAGCCUUGCCUUAAAACCAUGUGGAGUCAUCAUGAGAACUAGAAUGGGUACUCCUGGGUUUCCUAUGGUCAAUACAAGAUAAGGGAGCUUCUGGUUGGCUGAUAGACUGAACGUGUUUAGUUGCUCCUAGUGAGUCAGAGAGUUGUUGCAGGGGAUAAUGGAUUCCAUGCUUACCUCAGUGGACUUUCUUCAGUUUCUUGUGGUGUUGUCCUCUGAGAGAAGGCUGGUCCAGUCUUGAUACACUAGCAGUACUUGGUUCUCAUAAAGGUGACGUCAUUCUGAAAGUUCUUCAAACACCUCCUCCUCAUCCCAGCAACAAUCUAAUGGCCCUCUCUUCAGUCUUCAUGGAGUCCUUCCAGUAUGAUGAUACUCUUCCACAAUAUAUCAGGAAGUUGAACGAUGCCCUUUUAAAUGGCUGCUGUCAUUCACUUUAACUGAGGAGGGAUUGUGUUGGUCUACAAUGUCUCUAAUGCUAUGAUCAUUGCUGCCAUUCAUCCACUGGAAUACUGUAGAAUGUUCACUCCAGAUGGUCCCUCUCUCUUACAAACUCUGUCUUUGUCAUCAUUUCAUAAAAUCUCAGUCUCUCCUGAUCUAGGAGUGUCUCUUAAUUCAUUGGAUCAAUGUUCCCUCCCACUCAAUGCACUGGAGACUGGAACUGAGACAUAGUGUCAUUCUUCCUUAGGAAUAGAGGUAAAUGAUACUAUUUAUAGUAACACUGAUACUAUUUAUAGUACAAUACUAUUGAUUGACACUAUGCUAUUGUAGUAUAUGAUAUAUCAUUGUCUAUUGUA